CAGCUAGUUGGUGGGGUAAUGGCCUACCAAGGCGACGAUCCGUAGCUGGUCUGAGAGGAUGACCAGCCACACUGGGACUGAGACACGGCCCAGACUCCUACGGGAGGCAGCAGUGGGGAAUAUUGGACAAUGGGCGCAAGCCUGAUCCAGCCAUGCCGCGUGGGUGAAGAAGGCCUUAGGGUUGUAAACCCCUUUCAGCGGGGAAGAUAAUGACGGUACCCGCAGAAGAAGUCCCGGCUAACUCCGUGCCAGCAGCCGCGGUAAUACGGAGGGGACUAGCGUUGUUCGGAAUUACUGGGCGUAAAGCGCACGUAGGCGGAUUUGUAAGUCAGGGGUGAAAUCCCGGGGCUCAACCUCGGAACUGCCUUUGAUAC
rnacentral:rRNA from 1 species